UGUGAAAUUGCAGAAUGCAGUGAAUCAUCGUAAUCUAUUGAACGCACACUUGCGCACUUUGGCUAUGACACGAACGGCAUGCCUGUUUGAGUAUCAUG
rnacentral:rRNA from 1 species